CGCGGCCUAUCAGCUUGUUGGUGAGGUAACGGCUCACCAAGGCUCCGACGGGUAGCUGGUCUGAGAGGACGACCAGCCACACUGGGACUGAGACACGGCCCAGACUCCUACGGGAGGCAGCAGUGGGGAAUCUUGCGCAAUGGGCGAAAGCCUGACGCAGCAACGCCGCGUGGGGGAUGAAGGCCCUCGGGUUGUAAACCCCUUUCAGCAGGAACGAAAAUGACGGUACCUGCAGAAGAAGGUCCGGCCAACUACGUGCCAGCAGCCGCGGUAACACGUAGGGGCCAAGCGUUGUCCGGAUUUAUUGGGCGUAAAGAGCUCGUAGGCGGUUCGGUAAGUCGGGUGUGAAAACUCCAGGCUCAACCUGGAGACGCCACCCGAUACUGCCGUGACUGGAGUCCGGUAGGGGAGUGGGGAAUUCCUGGUGUAGCGGUGAAAUGCGCAGAUAUCAGGAGGAACACCGGUGGCGAAGGCGCCACUCUGGGCCGGUACUGACGCUGAGGAGCGAAAGCGUGGGUAGCAAACAGGAUUAGAUACCCUGGUAGUCCACGCCGUAAACGUUGGGCACUAGGUGUGGGUCGUUAUCAACGCGAUCCGUGCCGUAGCUAACGCAUUAAGUGCCCCGCCUGGGGAGUACGG
rnacentral:rRNA from 1 species